rnacentral:sRNA from 1 species
AGGUGAUGGAAGAUUCACGAGGGUGUUAGCCAUGGAGGUCUGGUGAACCGUGUGCUUUCUUGGGACAUCUGGAGUUUCCUGUCCAGCAUCAGUUAUGCUUGCUACUUGGUGCCUCCGAUUCUGAUCAUCCUUUACAAUGGCCUUCAGGAAACACUUAUUCACUACACCGACACCAACAUGUUCUAUCUUUUCUCUGGACACUGUGUGCUGACCUUCGUCACUGGGCUGGCCCUGACGCUGUUCAUUGAGAAACCAUGUCAGGAACUGAAGCAGCGCCUGCUGGGCCAUGAAUGUUCUGGUUAAAACACAAAAGAAUGGAUGGGGCUUGUUGGUAAUGACGAGCAAAGACGAGGUGGCCUUGUUUAUGCAAUGAAUGCUUGCGUUCCUGAGAAGGGGUGUGAAUCUCAUUUUGUGAAAGUUUAAUAUAUACAUGUUCUUUGUAUUUAAUAUGUGAAAGAGUUCUUAGUGCUUAUGAUGUAAGAGAGUUCUAUAAAUUUUUAGUAGCACAAUAAUAAACUUCUGUUGUACCAUUUUAGCAAAAAAAAAACACACAAAAACUGGAUUUCUUUUUGAUUUAAUCUGCAUUUGAUUGUCUGUAUCAAUGAUCACAGGAAAUGAUUAAAUGUCGUGAAUUUAAUGU